CACUCCGAGGGCUCGGGGGUCUCUCCGGGGGCAGCGAGUGUAAAAGGUGGACUGCAGACCGUCCGGAGGUGACAGCGCCAACUCCUCGCUCGUCCGGAGCCCAAGUGAGGUUGAGGGGGCGGGGAGAGGCAUGCAAGCCAGAGUAAGUCUGGGAUAUUCAUUCACUUAGAGGAGGGACCCCCCCCCACACCCCCACCCCGAGACUGGGUGAACCCUUGAAGAGCAGUGCCUUUGGGGAAGGGGGGAGGGGCGCUGGGUUUCUGCCCGAUUCGCUUGCAAGUUGGAGAACUUCGAUUGAGGGCUCCUGGAGCCUGCUGGGUUCACAGAUGUGGGGUGGGAGCUCCCCGCAGCCUGGAGGGGGGCCAGUCAGUGCAGACUCUGGGCCCUGGGCUAGUGGCUCCAGGACCCGUAGCUAUUCAUUCUCAGGGGGCCGUCCCAGUCCCUGGCGGACCAGGUGUGGGACCCUUCCCCUGUAAUGUGCAGAAAAGCUAUACGGUCUUCUGGAGUCGAGCAGGGUAAACCCUGGAAAAACCAGGUCCUGGAGAUGUGGCCGGAGUGGGGGUGAAUUGUAUUCCUUUAAGAACUGGGCCAGAUGGGUGGUCCCAGGACUGGGCUCCUCCCAGCCCCAGCUGGGGGAAUGAGAGAAGCCCCAGUGGGGAGGCUGGCCCGCUGCAGUUCUGCAGCAGGCUGGAUCCACUUUCCUUCUUGGCACCUAGCGAAGCUUGAGCUGAGACGCUAGGGGAGGGAUGGGGGAUCCACCCCACCCCAUCAGGGGCUGCUUGCUGAGAGAAUGGGCUCCCGGUAGGGGCGAGGUGUGAAGGGAGAGAGUUAAGCAGAGCUUGGAUUCUCUUGGAAUCACCGCCCUGGGGCAAGGGGAGUGAGUGUAGGGAGAAGGUGGUUGAAGUGGGUGCGUGACACCUGGGGAGGUUAGGGCCAUCCUGCCUGGGGUUAACUGUGUCUGAGGAGCUUGCGCAGGAAGCUUGUGACUCCUGGUGUUGGGAGCACCCGGGCAAAACCCGGCCACCGAGUUGCUGUGUGAUCUUGAGAGUACGGCCUCACUUCUCUGGGCCUCUAGGUAAAAUGUGCCAGAUUGCGUGGUGGGAGUGGUCCAGGCCAGAGCCGGACAGACAGGUCUGGGAGCUGCCGGUAGAUAGAUACGCACUUUAUUUUUGUUUUUAUUUUUUUGCUUUUUAGGGCCGCAUCCGCGACAUAUGGAGGUUUCCAGGCUGGGGGUCUAAUCGGAGCUACAGCUGCCACCCUACACCACAGCCACGCCAGAUCCGAGCUGCGUCUGCGACCUAUACCAGAGCUCACGGCAACACCGGAUCCUUAACCCACUGAGCGAGGCCAGGGAUUGAACCCGCAACUUCAUGGUUCCUAGCGGGAUUUGUUUUCGCUGCGCCACGACGGGAACUCCUAGAUACUCGCUUUAAGGACAGGAUCAGAGAGGUCCUUCUGGAUGGACCCAGCUGCCAAGCCGACCCCCACUUGAUCCUCACUGUGACUUCAUUGGAUCCUGCGGGGCUUCACUAGGUGCAGCGCACACAGUAGGUGCUCCAUAAAUGCAGAUGGAAAGCACGAGGGGCAGCAUGAGAAGCCGGACAUCCGUGGAAUGAGAGGCAGAGUGUGGGGGUUACCUUGAGCACUGCCUUUUCAGGGACCCCUCACUUGGCUGUUGGAGGCAGGGAUUGAAGGAUCAGGGGCCAAGCUGCCAGCACCCACUGGGGCCUGGUGUCCUAGGCGCAUACCCAGACCCCAGCGGCAUCUGGGAGGGACGCUGUUUGGGUCACACUUGCCCAGGUAACUGACAGCUGCUGUGACAGCUCUGGGCAAGUGCAUACUUGGGAUCCUGGCUCCUAGACCAGGAGGGGUGGGGGGUGGGGGUGACCCUGGCUAAGCCUUGGAUGUCUCUGGGGCUUGCUUUCUUCAUCUGGAAGACAACUGAGCGAUGUCUCUUGGGUGCUUGCUCUGUUAAUGGCCCAGGUCGUGGUGCCAGUUCACCUUCUUGGCCCUGGACCCAGGGCUGUUCCCUGGGGUGGGUGGCAGUGGCAGGACCCUGCAGUCGCUUUUUUUUCUUCCUUGGGACUCUUGAGUGUGGGCCCUGAAAUCAGGACCUAGAGGGGGCUCCCCCCAAACCAGGCUGCUCUCCUCCCCAUCUCCCACCGGGUCCCAUGUUCCAUAGUCUUGGGUGCCAAGCCAGCUCCAAGGUGAUGGGGCAAGGACGGUGACUUGGGUACUUCUGCUGCUAACACAGUGCUGGGCACUCGAGACUUAGACAGCAAAGGCCAGAGUUUGGGUUCUUGGCUAGUUUUCUGCCACGAAGUGGCCACGUGACAUUGGUGUAACCUCUCUGUCUCUCUGUCUCAGUUUUCUCUUCUGAUGGAUGGGACUGACCAUACCUGUCUUCAGGGAGGGACAGGUUUGAUGGAUGGAUUGUGGGGGAAUGAGAGACCACCCUGACCUCCCAGGGAUGGGGAGCUGUAUCUUUGCUGCAGGCAGGAUGCGGGGGAGCUCCAGGGCUUCCAGAUGGGCUGUGUGAUCUGGAGAAAGUCACCAACUGCUCUUGGGCCUUGGCUACCCCUAAGGGGCUUGGAUCUGUGAGGUCUAAAUCACAGUGAACUACAGGCUCUGAACCGGCGUCUGCAAUCUGGCCUAGGAGAUCCAGGAUCAGAGAGCAGGGGAAAGGGGUGGUGCAACUUUCACUGUCACCUCCUCCGCUUGGAAGCCCUCCAUGAUUUAACUACCUUCCCCUCCACCUUGAAGGGCGGAGAUAGCGCUCCUGCUGUUCCUUAAGCAGCACAUCUCUCUGUGGGCUCAGAUUCUCAUGAGAGUCCAGCUUGACCUAGACUGUCCCGACAUUGGCACAAGAUUUGUGCCCAAAAGGGUAGAGGAGGGGGGAAGCAAAAUGAAUUANNNNNNNNNNNNNNNNNNNNNNNNAAUCUGUGCAGAUUGGGUGAGUCAGGACGGGUGGGGUGUCUGGCACGUGACAUGUGCUCACUGGGUAUGUGAGGGAUGUUUGAGGUCUUGGGGUGUCCGAAUCUUCCAUUGUGGCUGAGCGGGUUAAGAACCCAGCUAGCAUCCAUGAGGGUGCGGGUUGGAUCCUGGCCUCGCUCAGUGGGUGAAGAAUCUGGCAUUGCCCUGAGCUGUGGUGUAGGUCACAGACACAGCUCAGAUCCCACGUUGCUGUGGCUGUGGUGUAGGCCGGCAGCUGCAGCUCCGAUUCAACCACUAGCCUCGCCUGGGAACGUCCAUAAGCUGCAAGUGCAGCCCUAAAAAGACAAAAAAAAAAAAAAAAAAAA
ensembl:lncRNA